rnacentral:rRNA from 1 species
CAGUCGCCGCGGUAAUACGAAGGGGGCUAGCGUUGUUCGGAUUUACUGGGCGUAAAGCGCACGUAGGCGGAUCGAUCAGUCAGGGGUGAAAUCCCAGAGCUCAACUCUGGAACUGCCUUUGAUACUGUCGAUCUGGAGUAUGGAAGAGGUGAGUGGAAUUCCGAGUGUAGAGGUGAAAUUCGUAGAUAUUCGGAGGAACACCAGUGGCGAAGGCGGCUCACUGGUCCAUUACUGACGCUGAGGUGCGAAAGCGUGGGGAGCAAACAGGAUUAGAUACCCGGGUAGUCCCUGUCUCUUAUAC